rnacentral:snRNA from 1 species
GUCAACAUCUGAUCGAUAGACU